rnacentral:lncRNA from 10 species
AAGGACAAAGGCAGGAGCAAAGAGAUAGUUGGGAGCCUCUUGCAGUAAUGUUAGGGUGGAGGUGGUGGUGGUGAAAGUGGUUGCAUUCAGGUUGUAUUUUGGAGAUACAGAGAACUUUCUGAUUGAUUGGAUGUGGGCAGGGAUGCCAGAUAAAAUAAAGCACCUGUUUUUUACUUUUAUUUGAUAAAUCUGACAACCCUAGGUGUGGGGACAGAGAAGACAGGAAUCAAGAAUGACUCCCAUGUUUUCAGCCUGAAUAAACGGAAGAAUGGGGUUUCCCUUGUUAGAGAGGGAGACAAUUUAGUGAUGAGGGGGUGUAGUUCAAGGGCUUAAUUUUAGACAUGUUAAGUUUGAGAUCCAUUUGAUAAUCGUAGAUGACAUUUGAGGCCACAAGACCAGAUGAGAUCCCCUAGAAAGUGAGUAUAAUUACCAAAGAGAAGAGGCCCAGGAGUCUGCCAGUGUUCAGAGGAAACAGCCAAGGAGAUGGAACUCACAGGCUUUCAUUCAUACAGCUGUUGAGCAGUAAAUGAAUAAAUACAUGUAAAGUACUUACAACGAGCACAUAGGAACCAUUUAAUCAAUGGGAACCAGCCCUGCUUCUUUCCUUUUCUCUUUCUUUAUUUCAUUUUUUAAGGUUUUGAGUGAGAAAUAAAGCAGUGCAUAAUUACAAGAUUUGCUAAUUUAACAAACACAUUGAGCAUCUACUGUCUGCUAAGUACUGUGCUGGGUACUGGGGAAAUGGCCAUGACAAAAUGGACAAAAUUAUCUGCCUCCAUGGAACUUACAUUCUAGGAGAAGGAAGACAGACAAUCAACAAGAUAAUAAGUCAAUUACAUGGUAUAGCAGGUGGAGCUGAGAACUGCAGCUGCAAACAGAGUGCUGGGGCAGUGGGUAAGGAGGAACCAUUUUAAAUCUGAUGUUCCUGAGAGGAACUGCUGAGAUGCAAAAGUGAGGGAGAAGAUCACAUGGAGGACUAGAAGUCCCGGCUGGGGGAACAGCAAGUGCAAAGGCCCUGGGGUGGAGGCCUGCCUGGGCUGUCCAAGGUAGAGCAAGUAGGAGAGUGACUUGAUUAGGGAUAGUGGAGGGGAAGAGCAGCAGGCAGUGGGGUCAGAGUGAUAGCCAUGUGGAUCCUGUGUGGCCUUGUAGGCAUUGUCAUGACUUUGGCUUUUACUCCCAGGGAGAUAGGAGCCAGUGAAGGCUGACUGACCUUUACCCAAUUCUCAUUUUAUAAGAAUUUUUGUUGGCCGGGCAUGGUGGCUCACGCCUGUAGUCCCAGCACUUUGAGAGGCUGAGUUGGGUGGAUCACUUGAGGUCAGGAGUUCGAGAUGAGCCUGGCCAACAUGGUGAACCCCAUCUCUACAAAAAAAAAAAAAAAAAAAUGAGUCAGGCACGGUGCCUGUAAUCCCAGCUACUUAGGAGACUGAGGCAGGAGAAUCACUUGAACCCGGGAGGCAGAGUUUGCAGUGAGCCAAGAUCGCGCCACUGCACUCCAGCCAGAUCAACAGUGAGAAGCUGCAGAAAAAAAAAAAAAAAGAAUUUUUGUCAUCUGCCAAACUUAUUUGUGAGAAAACACUAAAAGCAGAAAGAAUGCUAGUUAUAUUCAAGGUCACUAAAAGCGAACACUGGAGAACAAUUUGGAAUGACUCAGCAUUAGGAAUUUAAAAAUUCAUUCAUUUCUUCAUUCAACAGGCAUUUAUUGCCCAGGAAACAAAAACAGGUCUUACAACAUUGUCUAAGAAAAGUAACUGGCACCAAGAUUAAAUGCUUAAUAUUUAUGUGACAAUUAUAAUGCUAUGCCCUGGAUUAAUGUCAACUUACAGAAAUACUGCCCAAAUAGGAAUUCCAGAGUUCAAUUUACAGAUGAGGAAACUGAGGCCAGAAAUAAUAGACAACUUCCUCGAGAUCAAUGGUGGAGAAAGUGGUGCUAGUGUCUCCAUGGCCACAGAGGGAUCUAUAGACCACCAAAUACCUCUCUUUCUUUCUGUACCUCCAUUAGCACCUGAUAACAGUGCUGGGUAAAAUAAUAUGGCGGAACUAAAAAAGUACAGGCAGAUUCCCACAAUGUUCUGCUACUAAGAGAAAAGCUCAUGAGAAUAGGCUAUACCCUCCCUUCUUCCCUUUGUAUCCAAAUGCAGAAAGUGGUCUCUGCGGGAAUUCAACCCCAUUGUCAUUGCUCCACUGACCCAUUCAGCUGCCUGGGUCUGUGCAACUCAAGGUGUGUCCCGCUCAGCUGCCAAUAUUAUGGAAAAGCUGCUCAGCCUGGGACAAGGGAUUUAACUCCCUGGCCUCAUGUUUUGUAUCCUGAAAAUGAGAAGCUUAAAAUGAAUACAUGAUCUCUGAGGAUCUUUUCAGCUUGGAAAUGUUAGGAUUCUGAUGAGAUAGUUGCUUGAGAUUUAGUGCACAAAAGAGAAAGAGGUGAAAAACAAUUGGCUCUUCUCUGUUUUCACAUUAUUGGCUGUGUGGCUAAAGCUGGUACCUGAAAUGUAAAUAUUCUGUGUCUCCUGACCCUUUAAAAAAAUCUCUCUCUCUCUCUUCUUUAACCUCUCUCCUUUUUAAUGUCUUUUGUUUUCUCUGAUUCACAGUCAACUUUGGAUUUCUAUUAAACUUUUAAAAGGCUUGAGCCAAUCUUUCUUGUAAAUUGUGGUGGCCAGGGGGCAGCGUGGGAAGAAAGAAGAGAAAAGUUCUUGUUUCCACAUGAAUCACCAUGGAGCAGCAUCUGUCCUCAAUUUUGGCAAAGCAAAUUAAAGGGGAAAAGAGUUCUUAUUCACUGGGAGAAAACAGAGACAGCAAAGCCCAGAAGCUUCUCUUUGGUCAGCCUCUCAAUUGUAUUCCCCCCUCUUUGCUGUCCUCCCAAGGGCUAGACAUCCAACACUCCUACCGAGGUUCUCAUGACAUUGACAGUUUAGCUGGAAACCCAAGACCCACUCCUACUUUCCUGUGGGAUUUCUCACUGCCUUCCCAUGAACUGUCCAUCCUGCAGCCCAUGAGGGCGUGUCAGACCCAGAGAGAAUAAGAGAAGGCCAUGCAG